AAGGUAAUGGAGCGUUUGCGCGAGCCUCGUGUGGAGUUUUUGGAUAUGCCGGUGGGAACGUAUGAGUUCAGUGUGCGCUGCCGCUCCACCAGCAACAAACACUGGAGUGCAUGGAGCGAGUCCGUCAUCGUCACCAUCAACGGCAGAGCUCUGUCCGGUACUCACACACCACUUACGCAUAUAUCAGACUGAUAGCUGCUGCUCUAAGUGUCUGUCUGCCUCUCAGAUCGGAUGUUGGCCUUGAUCCUUGUGACCAGCAUCGCCAUCAUGAUCGUCCUCUUCAUCAGUUUGGGGAACAUCCCACGAGGCAAGAGCAGGAUUAAAUCGCUCCUCCUGCCAGCGAUUCCCAAACCGCGCAUCCCAGGGCUUGAACCCGCUCUGCUGAAGAAGGGGAAGAUUGACGAGCUCAAUCAGCAUUUCUGCAGUUUUCACGGCUAUAAGUCGCUGCAGUACUGCACGGAUACGUGGUACCAGGUGAGCGUGGACACUAAUCCGGCUGUGACGCCUGACGGUAUACAGGAGGAUGCACCGAUCGGGCCAAUCACGCAGUACGUCACCUGCCCUGACGGACAACAGUCUGUUCAGAUCAGCUGCACUCCUGCGCCGUACUGUCGUGGCCCCGCCCCCUAUUGUGAGGAAGACACGCCCCCUCCAUACCCUGGCCCCACCCAUCCGGAGCUCGCCUCUAUCCCAGGCAUGGACUACAGCAUGAUUCUAAGCCCCGCCCCUGCGGCACCGCCCACUCAGGACUUCUACACAUGUGUGAGCAGCGUGAUGCCCGCCAGCGCGCAGCAUCUGGUACCCUACGUGCAGCUCAACGAGGGAGCGGAUGACGAAGCAGACAAGAGCAGCCAGCUGGCAGCGCUGCUGGAGAAGCAGAUGGAGGCGCUGUUGAGCACGAUCGAGUCGGACCCGAGCGAAGCUGGCAUGCCUUCACUACCUCAUUCAUCAGACAGGAGCUGCAGAAGCAUCUAACACACACACACACACACACACACACACACAGAAUAACACAGUCCAUGAGUCACGCAGUCUGUGCUGGUUUGUCUUGAUGGGAAACGUGCCUGGAGUUUCAGUUCAAGCUGAGCGCAUUCGCAUGCAGAAUGCCUGAUUCACAGCGCAAGUGUCAGCAGCGCAUCAUUUUUCACUGCGCAUGUUAAGAAACGAGGUUGUUCACAUUGAAGCGUGAGCAUUGCAUUAGCAGCAGUGGUGUUUU
rnacentral:lncRNA from 1 species